UCUAACUGCUACAUAACUCCAUGCGACUGCCAAGAUGUGUGUGCUAAUUUAAAGACCUGCCACGGCAAUAACGCACAUGCACAGGGCAUAAAAAGAACAAGAGCAUAAUUCAAAUGCGCCGCGCCGCGUACCGCACGCAGCAUUGUGUGCAACGCGUGGCGCUUAAAUGCAGCGCACAAAAAGCUGAAAUAUUUAAGAACAUUCCAGAAGGCUGCCAAAAGCAACAGCAACAGCAAGAACAACCGCUACAACUGCUAAUUAUCAGCAUGAAUGGCACGAAAACGAAAACGAAAGAAAGCAACAACAACAAUAACAACAACAACAAAAACAACGACAACGACAAAAGGAAUGUAUAAUUUUGUGCUGGCAUCCGCUACACACACACACACACACACAUGACGCUUGUGAGAAGAGAAAAAAGUAUAAAGGUUGGGCAUAGCGGCCGGGCAGAGGAGCUUAGCGGCAACAUUUGUCACGCACGUUGUCUGAAAAAUCAAUAACAAUAUGAAGCCAACAAAAGUUAAGCAACAGAAAUUAAAUUAAAGAGCAAAAAUUGAAAUAAGCUGCCAAAUUAUCGCACACACACACAAACUCAGCGAAACGCAAGAAAGAUAGACAAAGAAAGCCAAAAAAAAAAAAGGCGUACGCCGUUUUCUGCUUCUUUUUUUUCGGCAAUUGUGAAUUUAUUAAAACGCAACUUACCUAUUCACGCACACACACACACAAACACACACACAUACGGGCGCAGGCACAAAGAUAAGACAAGUGCGUGGUCAAAACGUAUGCAGAAAUGUAUUUUAGUUAAUGCUUUUUGCGUUGCUGCUGCAAUUGUUGUUGUUGUUGCUGUUGCUGCUGCUGUUGCGGUUGUUCUUGCACUUGCACUGAACGAAGGAACGCAACAUAAAAUUGAAACAAAAAAAAAAUUGUAAGACAGCCACCGAAAAAAAAAAUGAAAGCACAGUCGUGCAGUUAAAUUGCUCACGUUUGCUCAGCUGCACACAAAUAACCAAAUACAGUACGCACUAGUUGAGUAUUUUGCAAUAACAAAUUUCUUCACAGAAUUUCGCUGGCUUUUAUUUUUACAGCUCCAGCAGCUCCCCAGCUCCGCACGAAAUUGUGAACGUCGAAAAAA